CAUCAUCGUCAACUGCAACACCAGCAGGAGGAAACACAACCACAACAACAUUACCAGGCGAAAAUAUUCUAAAGAAGCUUGUUGAUUAUGGUAGUGAUUCGGGUGAUGAAUAUGAAGCAGAAGAGGACGAAGAAGAAGAUACACCACAUCAAAAGAAACCACGUUUGGCAUAGCAACUUUACCAGAAGCACCAUCAGCAACAGCAGCAACAUGCUGUACAAAAACAGCAGCAG